rnacentral:rRNA from 1 species
ACACGCUGGCGGCGUGCCUAACACAUGCAAGUCGAACGAGGUCCAAGGAAGCUUGCUUCCUGAAGACCUAGUGGCGAACGGGUGAGUAACACGUGAGAAACCUGCCUCGGAGUGGGGAAUAACUCGGGGAAACUCGAGCUAAUACCGCAUACCUUCACAUGAUCGCAUGGUCGAGUGAAGAAAGAAUUUCGCUCUGAGAGGGUCUCGCGGCCUAUCAGCUUGUUGUGGGUAACGGCCUACCAAGGCAACGACGGGUAGCUGGUUUGAGAGAACGAUCAGCCACACUGGGACUGAGACACGGCCCAGACUCCUACGGGAGGCAGCAGUGGGGAAUCUUGCGCAAUGGGCGAAAGCCUGACGCAGCAACGCCGCGUGCGGGAUGACGGCCUUCGUGGUUGUAAACCGCUUUCAGCAGGGACGAAAAUGACGGUACCUGCAGAAGAAGCCCCGGCUAACUACGUG